rnacentral:rRNA from 2 species
AAUCCAUAGGUUAAUGAGGCGAACCGGGGGAACUGAAACAUCUAAGUACCCCGAGGAAAAGAAAUCAACCGAGAUUCCCCCAGUAGCGGCGAGCGAACGGGGAGGAGCCCAGAGCCUGAAUCAGCAUGUGUGUUAGUGGAAGCGUCUGGAAAGGCGCGCGAUACAGGGUGACAGCCCCGUACACAAAAGCGCAUGUGCUGUGAGCUCGAUGAGUAGGGCGGGACACGUGGUAUCCUGUCUGAAUAUGGGGGGACCAUCCUCCAAGGCUAAAUACUCCUGACUGACCGAUAGUGAACCAGUACCGUGAGGGAAAGGCGAAAAGAACCCCGGCGAGGGGAGUGAAAAAGAACCUGAAACCGUGUACGUACAAGCAGUGGGAGCACCCUUUGGGGUGUGACUGCGUACCUUUUGUAUAAUGGGUCAGCGACUUAUAUUCUGUAGCAAGGUUAACCGAAUAGGGGAGCCGGAGGGAAACCGAGUCUUAACCGGGCGUUAAGUUGCAGGGUAUAGACCCGAAACCCGGUGAUCUAGCCAUGGGCAGGUUGAAGGUUGGGUAACACUAACUGGAGGACCGAACCGACUAAUGUUGAAAAAUUAGCGGAUGACCUGUGGCUGGGGGUGAAAGGCCAAUCAAACCGGGAGAUAGCUGGUUCUCCCCGAAAGCUAUUUAGGUAGCGCCUCGUGAAUUCAUCUCCGGGGGUAGAGCACUGUUUCGGCUAGGGGGCCAUCCCGGCUUACCAACCCGAUGCAAACUGCGAAUACCGGAGAAUGUUAUCACGGGAGACACACGGCGGGUGCUAACGUCCGUCGUGAAGAGGGAAACAACCCAGACCGCCAGCUAAGGUCCCAAAGUCAUGGUUAAGUGGGAAACGAUGUGGGAAGGCCCAGACAGCCAGGAUGUUGGCUUAGAAGCAGCCAUCAUUUAAAGAAAGCGUAAUAGCUCACUGGUCGAGUCGGCCUGCGCGGAAGAUGUAACGGGGCUAAACCAUG